GAGACUCUGUCUCAAAAAUAAAUAAAUAAAUUGUAACCAACAGUAAUCCCCAGGGAGUAAUUUGGCAUCAAGUGAAUAUCCUGUUCCCUAUCACCUUUUCACCAAAUGAUAUCAUUGAUGAUCCUGGCAUGAAUCAAUUAUAAAAUUCCAUUAUUCAUUUAGGAUUACUUAGUUGGCAUACUUUUGUAAAGAGAACUGUUUCCUCAUCAACUGGUGCUCAUCAUCAGCUGUAUUUCAGUUACCCCGAAAUACAGCUGCUACUAGAAAGGCGGAAUACCUGUUUGUUUUCUUAAAUUAUCACUUUGCAGAGUAAAGUUGGUGUAAUAGUCACCACCAAUAGUGUGGCAAAUGAAGUUAGUUUUUUUUUAAUUUGGAUUACUCUUUGGGGAGAAUGGCUUUUUUAUGUUUAAAGUUUCCAAUCAUUUUUCGGUUUGCAGUCAUUGUUAUUUUUGAUUCUCAAAUUGUUCUAAUUUUGGCCAGUGGGCAACUUCAGGCUGGUUCCCAUGUCCUUUUAGAAGGACCUCGUUCGUCUUGAGAGGCGUCCUGAGCUUCUGACACAAGAUGUUCCAAGUUGUCCUCAUUCACUCCUAGCUCCUGACCUGGCAUCAGUCAUUUCUCGAAGGAUCACUUGGUACCUUUUAGUGGGGGGUGGUAUUUAGAGAUUAAUAGCUGGGUGUCAAGGCUAGACAAUGCUCCUAUGCCCUUAUUUUCAUUCAAAAGUUAACAAUAUAGGUUUUAAAAAAUACACUCAGGAUGUGUGUGUCUGUGGGAGGGGGGAACCAAAACACAAUAUAGCGGUUUCUACUGUGACCCUAACUUAUAUUAUGAUCCCGAUUUUUAAAAAGAGGAAACGGAGACCAGAGGUGCCCAAAGUUACUUGGCUAGUAAAUGGCAGCGUCGGGAUUUAAGCCCAGGCAUGUAACUUCCAUGUAACAGGGAAGGGAGUCCCAAGCAUUCAGAGGGGCUGCUCCAGGAGGCGACGGGUCCGUGGAAAGGGGUCAGGUUGAUGACCAGGGCUGGGGGUGCCGGAACCAGCAGAAAGGGUGAACGGAGCCGUCCUGCCCGACUCCUCUAGGCCAGGAAGGCAGGACCGGGCUAGCUGCCGGAUGAGGGAGCCGUUGAUGGAGUGGCCAGGGCCGCUGUUUCGCUUCAGAUCUGACCAGAACUUCCUAAGGCGCAGAAAGUACCAAAGAACCACACACGCGCACCCCAGAGCGGAGAAACCAGUCACGCGCCACGACCUUCAGCCAGUGUCCAUGGGACCCGACCCGCCUGUGAUGAGUGCCUGUCCACCCCUCAAUCAGAGGAAGCCUUGAGCAAGGAGGGGCGGGACAUCAGUAGGUCGUGUCCAAUGAGGAGCCAGCGCCGGAUUGCUUCAGGACAGACUAUUUCUGAGUCUCGGCGGAAGGCGGAGAGAAGGCCGUGGGGAUGGCCAAUCAAAGGGGGCGACUCAGGUCGGUGGGGACCGGGCUUACAGUCAGGGCAAGGGGAAGAGAUAUUAAACAAGGGAUUAUUCAGUUACAGGUAUAUGGUCCGUCUUAAAAAGGAGGCAUGCAAAGUGCAGUGGGGCGUAUGACCAGGGUACCUGACCUAACCAGGAUGCUCAGGAAAGCCCUGCCUGAAAAUGUGACUUUUAAGUUGAGACCUGAAUGAUUGUAGAGGUGGGGAGCACACAAAACGGAACAGCAUCUUCUGCAAAGGACCUGAAGAAAGAGGAAGCUGGAUCUUUCAGUCAGUGUGGCUGGAGUUUAGUAAGGGGAAUGUGGCAUGAAGACUGGAGAUAUGUGGAAGGGCCACAUCUUCCAGGACCACAGAAGCCAAAUAAGACACACUGCAGAACUAAAGCACAUGAAAGAUCAGAUUUCUAUCUCCAAAAGCCCAUUCUGGUCACAUGGAAAAUAGAUUUGAAGGAGGGAAGAGUGGAUGUGGAGAGUUCAAGAAGUUUUUGCAGCAAUUUAUGCCAAAGAUAAUGAAUGGCAUCUUGAACUAGGGUGGUGGCAGGGCAGGGUGGAUGGAUUUGAGAACUAAUUUGGAGAUAACAUUGUUAAAGCAUAGUGAUUGAGUGUGAAGAGAAUAUCAAAGAUGACUCAGGUUUUUGGCACCAGGUAGAUGCAGGUGAUGUUUGCAGAGAAAG
rnacentral:lncRNA from 1 species